rnacentral:misc_RNA from 1 species
AACGCACCUUGCGCUCUUGGGUAUUCCCAAGAGCAUGCCUGUUGGAGUGUCAUGACCCCUCUCCCCGCAGUAUUCUGUACUUGCGAAGGAGGAUGUGAGCGCUGCUUUUCGUAAGCUCGCUUGAAAUGCAGGAGUGUGCUUGCCUAUUUCCGAGGCGGCGCCGGAGCAUCGUUAUGGUUAUACAUCGAUGCGAUGGCCCUACUCGCUGAGAGGCGUGCGGCGCGCUUGCCAACCCCGUCUAUACACAUCUGGCCUCCAAUCAGGUAGGACUACCCGCUGAACUUAA